UUCGCAAUGCCCGAAAGGGUGACGAAGCGACGCCGCGUGUGGGAUGAAGGCCCUCGGGUUGUAAACCACUGUCGGGAGUUAAGAAUUGUAGGGGUGCUAAUAGUAUUUCUACUUGACUAAGGCUCCGGAGGAAGCCACGGCUAACUCUGUGCCAGCAGCCGCGGUAAUACAGAGGCGGCAAGCGUUGUUCGGAAUUAUUGGGCGUAAAGAGCAUGUAGGCGGCUAUGUAAGUCGGUUGUGAAAGCCUUCCGCUUAACGGAAGAAUGGCGGUCGAAACUGCAUGGCUUGAGUGCGGGAGGGGAGAGUGGAACUUCUGGUGGAGCGGUGAAAUGCGUAGAUAUCAGAAGGAACGUCGGCGGCGAAAGCGACUCUCCAGACCGUAACUGACGCUGAGUGUGCGAAAGCUAGGGGAGCAAACGGGAUUAGAUACCCCGGUAGUCCUAGCCGUAAACGAUGGGCACUAAGUAGAGGGGUUUU
rnacentral:rRNA from 1 species